AGGACGAACGCUGGCGGCGUGCUUAACACAUGCAAGUCACGGGGGUCCCGCAAGGGAUAACCGGCGAACGGGUGCGUAACACGUGAACAACCUGCCCUCGUGUGGGGGAUAGCCGGGCUAACGCCCGGGUAAUACCGCAUACGUUCUCUUUGGGGAGUCCCGAGGAGAGGAAAGCUCCGGCGCACGGGGAGGGUUCGCGGCCUAUUAGCUAGUUGGUGGGUAAUGGCUCACCAAGGCGACGAUCGGUAGCUGGUCUGAGAGGAUGAUCAGCCACACUGGGACUGAGACACGGCCCAGACUCCUACGGGAGGCAGCAGUGGGAAUUUGGACAAUGGGGGCAACCCUGAUCCAGCCAU
rnacentral:rRNA from 1 species